rnacentral:lncRNA from 1 species
GGUUGUGUGAUAGAGGUUCAGUGGAAGUAAAACUUUGAGGUUGUUAGCUAAGGAUCAAGGUGUGGGUUAUUGUGGUUGUUGUUAGUGGAAAGUUAGGAUAUUAAUCAAUUUUUAUUAUUUUAUUUUUAAUUUUCUAAUUUUUUAAUUUUUCUCUCUCUUCCCAAAACUCUUUCUGACGUUAGUUUUGUUUUUCUCCUCUUCCCGGUGAUUUCUUUGUUUCCUCUCUGUCAAAUAUCUCUCUUUCUACUCCUCCGAAGUUCUACCAUAAUUUUUCCUGUUCAGUUUCGGUGUUUCAAAUUUUUGGUUUUCCGUGCAGUUCUGUAAGUUUGGGUAAGUAUGGUUUUAUGAUUUCUUUUACUUUUUGUUAAUGGGGAUUCUUGUUAAUUCUCGUCAGCUCUUAUCUAGGGGAUAGUCAAGGCGUAAUUGGUGCUUCUCCAGCGAAUUGAGUGUGGGGUGCUUUCGGCCCGUUGUCGGUAAGUGGAAAAAUGUGUUAAAUGUUAUUGUGAGGUUUCGUUUUGGAUAAUUAAUGUUUGAAUUUCGUGAAUGCUUACUGAAGUUGGGCAUUGGAAUGUUGAU